GACGAACGCUGGCGGCGUGCUUAACACAUGCAAGUCGAACGGAAAGGCCCCUUUGGGGGUACUCGAGUGGCGAACGGGUGCGUAACACGUGAGUAACCUGCCCUUGACUUCGGGAUAACUUCAGGAAACUGGGGCUAAUACCGGAUAGGAAUCCUUGCUGCAUGGUGGGGGUUGGAAAGCUUCGGCGGUUUUGGAUGGACUCGCGGCGUAUCUGCUUGUUGGUGGGGUAGUGGCUUACCAAGGCUGUGACGGGUAGCCGGCCUGAGAGGGCGACCGGCCACACUGGGACUGAGAUACGGCCCAGACUCCGACGGGAGGGCGCAGGGGGGAAGCUUGACCGAGGGGCGGAAGCCUGAUGCAGAAGCGCCGCGGGCGGGAUGACGGCCUUAGGGUUGAAAACCGAAUUCAGCAGGGGCGAAGCUUGUGGUGACGGUACCUGCAGAAGAAGCACCGGCUAACUACGUG
rnacentral:rRNA from 1 species